rnacentral:rRNA from 1 species
AAAUUGAAGAGUUUGAUCAUGGCUCAGAUUGAACGCUGGCGGCAGGCCUAACACAUGCAAGUCGAACGGUAACAGGAAGCGCUUGCUGCUUCGCUGACGAGUGGCGGACGGGUGAGUAAUGUCUGGGAAACUGCCUGAUGGAGGGGGAUAACUACUGGAAACGGUAGCUAAUACCGCAUAACGUCGCAAGACCAAAGAGGGGGACCUUCGGGCCUCUUGCCAUCGGAUGUGCCCAGAUGGGAUUAGCUUGUUGGUGGGGUAACGGCUCACCAAGGCGACGAUCCCUAGCUGGUCUGAGAGGAUGACCAGCCACACUGGGACUGAGACACGGUCCAGACUCCUACGGGAGGCAGCAGUGGGGAAUAUUGCACAAUGGGCGCAAGCCUGAUGCAGCCAUGCCGCGUGUAUGAAGAAGGCCUUCGGGUUGUAAAGUACUUUCAGCGGGGAGGAAGGGAGUAAAGUUAAUACCUUU